UGCAAAAAAAAGCAGAGGAUAAUCUUCAUGUGAUUUACACCGGAGCGUCAAUAAAGUACAUCGAGUCAAUUUUUGGCCCUCCCGUGAAGGAAGAACAUUCUGAGGAUGGGAGGGUUCAUGAGUAUAUUUACUCUUUCA
rnacentral:misc_RNA from 1 species